GACGAACGCUGGCGGCGUGCCUAAUACAUGCAAGUAGAACGCUGAAGGAGGAGCUUGCUUCUCUGGAUGAGUUGCGAACGGGUGAGUAACGCGUAGGUAACCUGCCUGGUAGCGGGGGAUAACUAUUGGAAACGAUAGCUAAUACCGCAUAAGAGUAGAUGUUGCAUGACAUUUGCUUAAAAGGUGCAAUUGCAUCACUACCAGAUGGACUUGCGUUGUAUUAGCUAGUUGGUGGGGUAACGGCUCACCAAGGCGACGAUACAUAGCCGACCUGAGAGGGUGAUCGGCCACCCUGGGACUUAGACACCGCCCCGACUUCUACGGGAGGCAGCAGUAGGGAAUUUUCGGCAAAGGACGGAAGGCUGAACGAGCAACGCCGCGGGAGGGAAGAAGGGUUUCGGAUCGGAAAGGUCUGUUGUAAGAGAAGAACGAGGGGGGGAGUUGAAAGUUCACACUGUGACGGUAUCUUACCAGAAAGGGACGGCUAACCACGUG
rnacentral:rRNA from 1 species